rnacentral:rRNA from 1 species
GGUUGUAAACCCCUUUCAGCAGGGACGAAACUGACGGUACCUGCAGAAGAAGCCCCGGCCAACUACGUGCCAGCAGCCGCGGUAAUACGUAGGGGGCGAGCGUUGUCCGGAUUUAUUGGGCGUAAAGAGCUCGUAGGCGGCUUGGCAAGUCGGGUGUGAAACCUCCAGGCUCAACCUGGAGACGCCACUCGAUACUGCUAUGGCUAGAGUCCGGUAGGGGACCACGGAAUUCCUGGUGUAGCGGUGAAAUGCGCAGAUAUCAGGAGGAACACCGGUGGCGAAGGCGGUGGUCUGGGCCGGCACUGACGCUGAGGAGCGAAGGCGUGGGUAGCAAACAGGAUUAGAUACCCUGGUAGUCCACGCCGUAAACGUUGGGCACUAGGUGUGGGGCCUUAUCAACGGGUUCCGUGCCGUAGCUAACGCAUUAAGUGCCCCGCCUGGGGAGUACGGCCGCAAGGCUAAAACUCAAAGGAAUUGACGGGGGCCCGCACAAGCGGCGGAGCAUGUUGCUUAAUUCGAUGCAACGCGAAGAACCUUACCUGGGUUGAACUACGCAGGAAAAGCCACAGAGAUGUGGUGUCCGAAAGGGCCUGCGAUACGUGGUGCAUGGC